rnacentral:rRNA from 1 species
GACGAACGCUGGCGGCGUGCCUAAUACAUGCAAGUCGAGCGGACAGAUCAGAAGCUUGCUUCUUAUUCGUUAGCGGCGGACGGGUGAGUAACACGUGGGCAACCUACCUUUUAGACUGGGAUAACUCCGGGAAACCGGAGCUAAUACCGGAUAACACGUGGAAUCGCAUGGUUCUAAGGUGAAAGACGGCUUAGCUAUCCGUUAUAGAUGGACCCGCGCCGUAUUAGCUAGUUGGUAAGGUAACGGCUUACCAAGGCGACGAUGCGUAGCCGACCUGAGAGGGUGAUCGGCCACACUGGAACUGAGACACGGUCCAGACUCCUACGGGAGGCAGCAGUAGGGAAUCUUCCGCAAUGGGCGAAAGCCUGACGGAGCAACGCCGCGUGAGUGAAGAAGGGUUUCGGCUCGUAAAGCUCUGUUAUUAGGGAAGAACAAGCAUCGAAGUAACUGGGGUCAUCGUGACGGUACCUAAUGAGAAAGCCACGGCUAACUACGUG